rnacentral:miRNA from 1 species
UUUAAGGUACAGACUUUGAG